UCCAGGUCUAAAGGUCUGGGAUCCUAGGGC
rnacentral:piRNA from 2 species